GUCUUUUUGUAUUUUAUUUAAAGUCUAGCCUGCCCACUGAAAUUAUUUUAAAUGGCCGCAGUAAUUUGACUGUGCAAAGGUAGCAUAAUAAUUAGUUUUUUAAUUAAGAGCUAGUAUGAAAGGUUGGACGAAGUAAAUUCUGUCUCUAUUUAAUUUAAAUUAGAAUUUAAUUUUUAAGUUAAAAAGCUUAAAUGUUUAUAAAAGACGAGAAGACCCUAUAGAGCUUUAUAUUUUUAAUAAUAUAAUUAUAUUAAGAUUUAAUUAUUUUUUAUUAUUAAAAUUAUUUUAUUGGGGUAAUAGAAAGAUUUAAAUAAUUCUUUUUUAUUAUUUAUAUUUAUUUAUAGAAUUAUUGAUCCAAUUUUAUUGAUUAUAAGAUUAAGUUACCUUAGGGAUAACAGCGUAAUUUUUUUGAAGAGUUCUUAUCGAUAAAAAAGUUUGCGACCUCGAUGUUGGAUUAAAGAUUAUUUUUGGUGUAGAAGUUAAAAAUUUUGGUCUGUUCGACCAUUGAAUCUUUACAUGAUCUGAGUUCAGACCGGUGUAAGCCAGGUCGGUUUCUAUCUUUAUUUUUGUAUAAUAUUUUAGUACGAAAGGACCAAAUAUUAAAUAUAUUAAUAUUUAUAUAUUGAAUAUUAUUAAUUAUUUUGGCAGAUUAGUGUAAUGAAUUUAGAAUUCAUAUAUGUAAUUUUUAUUACAAAUAAUACUUGUUUUAUAUAGAUAUAAUUUUUUCUAUUGUUUGUUUAUUAUUGUUAGUAAUUUGUGUAUUAGUAGGAGUUGCUUUUUUAACAUUAUUAGAGCGUAAAGUUUU
rnacentral:rRNA from 1 species